GCUCUGCAGGGUUCUCCUGGGUCAGGACAGCUCCUGCUGCUGCUUCUUCUUUUUCUUCUUGGGGGGUGGGGACAGGCAGCAGUUCCUGGGGGGUUCCAGGGCCUCCUGCUCCUGAUUGUUGUGGUCCAAAAAAUUCUGCUCCACAGAAUUCUGUUCCAGAGAAUUCUGCUGCUUCUGCUCCUGCUGGUUCUGUUUCUUCUGCUGUCUCUGCUCCAGCUUUUUCUGCUUCCUCUGCUCCUGGUGAUUCUGCUUUUUCUGUUUCCUCUGCUCCAGAUGUUUCAGCUUUUUUUGCUUCUUCUGCUCCUGAUGCUCCCUCUCCAGAUGUUCCAGCUCCAGAUGAUUCUGCUGCUUCUGCUCCAGAUGUUUCUGUUUCCUCUCUUUCCUCUGCUCCUGAUGCUCCAUUUCCAGAUGUUUCAGCUCUUUCUGCCUCCUCUGCUCCAGCUCCAGAUUCUGCUCCUGAUGUUUCUGCUUUUUCUGCUUCCUUUUCUCCUGAUGCUCCAUCUCCAGAUGAUUCUGCUUCUUCUGUUUCCUCUGCUCCUGAUGCUCCAUCUCCAGAUAAUUCUGCUUUUUCUGUUUCCUCUCUUCCUGAUGUUCUCUCUCCUGAUGAUUCUGCUUUUUCUGCUUCCUCUGCUCCUCCUGCCUCUGCCUGCCACUGCUGCUGCUCCUGCAAGGAAAUUGGGGGUCAGCACCCAAAACAGGGCUGGGGGAGCACCCAAAUCUCCAUCAGGAAUUUUUUGCCAUUUCCAUCGGGAAUAUUUUUCAUUUUCCAUCAGGAAUUUUCUCAAAUUUCCAUCAGGAAUUUUCUCCAAU
rnacentral:lncRNA from 1 species